CACAAGUCUUUAUUGAGCACUUAUUGUGUGCCAAGGACCUUGGAGGGCAUUUAAGGCGACAUCAAGCUAUAGUCCCAGAUUCAGACAAUAAGUGAUGCCAUACCCAGAAGAAGCCAAGUCAGCUCCAAAAGGCAAUGUGGAGCUAGCCUUUUUUUUUUUUUUUUUUUUUUUUUUUUUUUUUGGCCGCCCCAGAGGAUAUGGAGUUCCCAGGACAGCGCUCAGAUCCAAGUUGCAGCUGCGACAUUGGGAACAGCUACUUUUGUUUUUAAAUGGAGCUGGAGGCACCCAAGGACCUCCUAAUGGCUCCAGGGCGUAGACCACUUUCCCCAUCUCUCACUGCACAGACUGCUCUCUACCAGGCAGUCAAGAUCCCCAUUUAAAUGCUGUCCACCUCCCUGGACCCUCUAUGGCUCCCCAGGGUGGGGCUCACAGCACCCAGCCUGGAGCAGCAGCUCCAUCCACCUCCAAGGGAAUGAAUGCUCUGAUAUGAAGGCACCCAGAAGUUCCAACCGAAGCUUGGAAGAGGGCUGGUGAUGGAGACACAGAGCUCAGAGGCUGACAGGGGUCACGGUGCCACAGGGAAGGAUGCAAUCAUCAAAGGUGGUACCAGACGAGAGGCAACCAGGGAGGGUGGAGCUCACUCUGGGAGGGAAGAAAAGAUGGAGGAGGAGGUGGUAGAGGCAUCAGGCAGGUGCAGAGCCCUCAGAGGUGACCAAAGAGUGAAUGGAAAGGAGAGGUCAAACUGGAAGAAAGCCCCUGGGGGCUCUGUAAGGGAGAAGGUCAGUGGAGCAGACCCAAGGGAUGGGCGGCAGCUAGCGGAAGCUGCCACUUCCUCCUCUUAGGGAAGCUGGCUGGAUGGGAAGGCGAGGAUGUGGUAUUUAGAAUAAGAGAUUUCCACAUGCUGGGUGGAUAGAGGGGCAGGAAUGACUAAAGCAGCAGCAAGAGGCCAACGAAGUCAGAGAGCAGGGAUAGGUGGCCCGAAGAUCUGGUGAGUGAAGUUCACAGAGCUGAGCCCCGGGAAGAAUGCCAGGCUCCUGGUUAGGGCGUUGUAGUCUCUGCCUUCCCUGACCGUGGAAGACACCUUGGAAGAAGCUCCUGGGCACCGUCUCCCUGGGAGGUGGGCGGGACUGCUGGCCAAAGGUCAGGGCAGAGGCAGCUCCACUGAGGAAAUGGAGAAGGACCAGCGUGGAGGGGAAGGAACUGGGAGGAGCAGCCAGCUGUCCCCUUCUCCAGGCUGCUGGGCAUAGAGCUGGACCCACGAGCAGCCCUGAGGACCAGCUGCCCCACGGGCGAGGGGGGAGCAAGACAGGCUGCACCUGCAUGCGGAGCCUUGGGGAAGGUGAGCUAGUGAAGGGCCCUGAAGGUCAAUUCCACGGUUGAGGGAGAAGACUUUCAAAGAGAUCAGCGAAGUCCAAGGGGCAGGGACCCAAGGAGACAGUAUUUCGUGGCUUUCAGGAAGGGAAAUUGGGAGGCAGUCAGGAAGAUAUCACCAAGAACGAGGAAGGGUCUGAAUUUAGCANNNNNNNNNNNNNNNNNNNNNNNNNNNNNNNNNNNNNNNNNNNNNNNNNNNNNNNNNNNGGGGGGGGGGGGGGGUGAAGGUCAAAAGUAUCAAAGACUUUACAACAGCCCAAGGCUGGAGACUCAAAAGCCUAGGUCCUGGGCAGGGGGAUGGGGGCCAACAAGGAGUGUGGUUAUGACCAAAAGCUGGUUUUGAACUGGGCUGUGCGACUUACUAGAUGUGCCACCCUGGGAAAAUUAUUUUGUCUCUGUGCCUCAUUAUCUCCAUUUGCGAAAUGGGGAGAAUGCUACUUUAUAGGAUUGGUGUAAAGUUUAGACAAUUCCUAUGUACAAUGUUCAGAAGCAUAUCAGCGUCUACAGGGAACCUCCCAAUUUUAUUUUUCAGUGGCCUCUAUCCAAUGGUGGGUGAAUGCCAGAGGGGCUGGCUGCGGGCGAGGGGCAUCUGCCUCUAUGGGUUUAGGCCAGGGUUGUAGAGCUGCAGCGUCCUCCCCGCCCCCCACCUGCCCCCCGACCAGGGAUAGUGCAAUGACUGGGAGACAGACUUGUGACACCUGCCCAAAGACUGCUGCCAGGAAGGCCUAGUCUCCCUGGGAGAGCGGGCAGAAGGUCAGGGAGGUUGGACAGGGGCUAGACCUCCUCUGCGCACAGUCACGCGUCCUAGGUUUUACAGAUCAACCCAGAUUUCGAAACCUCUGCUCCCUGGUACCCAAGAGGACAGCAGAACUCAUUGCCCCACACCCUAAAGUCCAGUCAUGGCAAAUACAGGACUCCGUUCUGAGACUGCAUUCCUUGCCAAUGACUCUCUGGCCAAGGAGAAGGCUACUUUUACCAAGGGCAAGGGGGAUAGCCUGGGCCUGCAGAGGUGCUCACUCAGCCUCAGGCAGACAGAAAGCCAGGGAAGGUGACAGACCAGGGGUAAUCAUGACCCCUAACCUUGAGACAUAUGGGGGGGGGAGAUACUUGAGAAUUUAAAUGCAGCUUCCUCUUUAAAAUCUGCCAGGACCAGGCCCUUUGCUGCGCCAGAGUUCUGCUCUAACUCACAACAGGGGGUAGAAGGAGGUGGUUUCUGGCUGGCCCUCCCUGCUGGGACCCCUCCUCACCAGGCAGCUGCUGUCAAAGGCUCAAUUUCCCCCUCUGCCCAGGAGACCAUCGGCCCAGGCGCUCCUUCCUAACCUCGGGCCCUCCCCACCCGGCCCGGGCCCCGGGGGUGGGGGAAGCAAACUGCCCAGGGGCUUACGAGAUGGGAGGGCCGGAAACGGCAGCCUUCAGGGGAGCCCUGCGGAUGCCAGGGACCUCUGCCAGGGGAGGGGGGGCGGCGCUGACCGGCACGUAGUUCCCCAGUAGUGUCCGGCUUCCCUGGCCAUUGAAAUCAGAUAGGUGGCCCCGAGGCUGUUCCGAUCCCAGGGGACAUGCCGCCCGCUUCCCCUGCUCGGCUCAGGCUGGACGGUGCAGGGGGCGGCGAGGGGAGAGGGUAGAAAAGGGGUGGAU
ensembl:lncRNA